rnacentral:rRNA from 1 species
UAGGGAAUCUUCCGCAAUGGACGAAAGUCUGACGGAGCAACGCCGCGUGAGUGAAGAAGGAUUUCGGUUCGUAAAACUCUGUUGUUAGGGAAGAAAAAAUGUAUAGUAACUAUAUACAAAAGAGACGGUACCUAACCAGAAAGCCACGGCUAACUACGUGCCAGCAGCCGCGGUAAUACGUAGGUGGCAAGCGUUGUCCGGAAUUAUUGGGCGUAAAGCGCGCGCAGGUGGUUUAGAAAGUCUGAUGUGAAAGCCCACGGCUCAACCGUGGAGGGUCAUUGGAAACUAAUAAACUUGAGUGCAGGAGAGAAAAGUGGAAUUCCUAGUGUAGCGGUGAAAUGCGUAGAGAUUAGGAGGAACACCGGUGGCGAAAGCGGCUUUUUGGCCUGCAACUGACACUGAGGCGCGAGAGCGUGGGGAGCAAACAGG